GUUCUUGAAGCAGCCUUGCCGUCGGCCCGGGCCUGGGAGGCCAGGCGGCCAUGGAACGUGGUCCUGGCGGGUGUUUGUGUGCAGGGGGCACCCUCCCUGCGUGCACGCCUGGCCUCGUGGGGCAGGAUUCGGGGCGUUUCUACUGUGAGGGCUCCUCCAGGGACCUGCUCCUUAGCAAGGGGCCCUGGCGGCGGAGGCCCUGGGGCGUCAGGCUCCAGCCCUGCAGGGCCCGCCCGGGCUGCCACACACCCGCUGCACCCUGCUCGGCAUCCCAGCUGCCCUGUCCCCCGUCCUCUGCGGCAGGAAGGCCUGCGGAUCGCCCGGCAGGGACUGCGGUGUAGACACAGAUCCAGGGGUGCAGGAUGGGCCGUCCCUGCACAUGGUCCCUGCGCGCUGGCUUCCGCCACCAUUGUCUCCGAGUCCCCCCGCCCCCCCUGCCCCCCAGCGCUGCGUCCAGGGUGGGAGCCUCGGCCAGGGUGUGUCCCACCCGGUGCUGGCCUGCCCUCCGGCCCUCCUGCCCCCACCCCGCCGCAUCUACUCCCUGCCGCCCCGGCACAUCCCAGGGUCCCGGGCCCUGUGCACCCGCCUGGCUCUGGGGGGCCUCCUGUGCCUGCCCCUUACUGCUUCCCCCCCUUUGCAGCAGUUUCCCUCCAGCCUCCUGUUCAAGGCCACGGGGACCCGUUACAAUGCUCUCUUUAUUCGAUGCAAACACAAGCGAUCAAUUGGCUUAUGGGUUUCCAGGUCUGUGCACGUAAAGAAGCAGCAGGGAAAGGGGCAGAAAAGGUUAAUCUGAACUUUCCCGGAAGUGACUUAAUACUUGAACGUUUGGAUUCGUGGGUACCCAUGUGUGACGUCGAGCUUCCCACGUACUCGGGCUCCACCAACCGCUGCGGGGCAGACCCUGUCUCGGCACAAGCAAGUGAGGAACGACACCUGCGCUUCCCAGACAGGAGGGGAGGCCAGAGGGGCUGUUUGCAGAACACCUGUGUGCGGAGGGGCGUGGACGCCCUGCUGGGAGCCGCGCUCCUGCCUCGGCACCAACGUGUGACCCGGGGCACAGGAGCCCCGCUGAAGGUGGUUAGAAUGCGGUGUCGGCCCUGA
rnacentral:lncRNA from 1 species